GCCUGGGUGGCUCAGUGGGUUAAGCGUCUGACUUCAGCUCAGGUCACGAUCUCACGGUCUGUGAGUUCGAGCCCCGCGUCGGGCU
rnacentral:tRNA from 1 species